GGAAAUAAUCAAGGCAGGUUCUGCCCCGGCCAGAGGUUAAAGCAAGGGAACGCAGAGGGCUGCAUUCAUUUUGCCUGCUCUCAGGCUGUAGCAGGCUCAUGUAGUGAUGUGUACCCUCUUGGUAUGUCUGUUCUCACAGCAUUAUAGGUUCCUCUGGCCUGGGCAUGUUGUGUGAAGAGGCUGCGUCCUGUGCUGGUUGGUCCCCUCCAUUUCUUUUCUGACACUUGCCCAGGGUCAGGUGCCCUUGUUUGUGCUUGGCGGUAGGAGCACGGGGUAUUUCACGUGUCCCUUCCCUUUGGAUGAGGGGGCCUCCCUUCUUGUUCCUUCCUCCCAUCUUCUGUCUUUCACAGAACUGGCUACAAGGGGUGAGCCACAGAGUCGUGGUUGCUGGAAUGCCACUGUGGGUGACCGGAUUCAUUUUCUAGCAUCAGCAUCCGCCCAGAGGAGAACACAAGGGUGAAUGAUCACUUGGCCACAUCCCAGAGCACAUGCCCUUAUCCCCGAAAAGUCAAUAUGAUGGAUCUGUGUGCAGCAAGACAGGAAAUGCGUCAGUGCCCAUAUACCUGUGUCUCAUAGGAGCUGCUGGUCACUUGUGGAGGACUCACGCAAGAUGUCUGUUGGUAUCCCAGCAUAGUCCCAUGGGUGCAGAGCUGAGAGUGCCUGUAAAUGCCAUGGCAGUAGCUGUGGUUCCCACUGAAAAGAGACUGUGGGGGAAGAGGAGUCAGAGUGAAGGAGAGGAUGAGGAGGGAAAUCGGUACAUCAGUCAUCUCUGGGCGCUAGUGUUGGCCCAGGCAGGACAUCAAGAAGAAGAGGUCUGGAGAAGCUGCCUGAACCUCACCUCUAUUGGACUGAGAGAAAUGCCUCCUGCUUCCCUCUUUUUCAAGACCACCACUCUUCCAGCUUGUCUGCCAAGGAACCAGUUUGGUAAUAAAAUCAAAGCAUGUGAUCAACAGCUCGUACAUUAUAUUGGUGUGGACCCGAGAGCACAGACGAAGAGCAGACACUGACCUCACACUUCUGAUAG
rnacentral:lncRNA from 1 species